rnacentral:rRNA from 1 species
AGAGUUUGAUCCUGGCUCAGAACGAACGCUGGCGGCAUGCCUAACACAUGCAAGUCGAACGAUGGCUUCGGCCAUAGUGGCGCACGGGUGAGUAACACGUGGGAACCUGCCUUUCGGUUCGGAAUAACGUUUGGAAACGAACGCUAACACCGGAUACGCCCUUCGGGGGAAAGUUUACGCCGAGAGAGGGGCCCGCGUCCGAUUAGGUAGUUGGUGGGGUAACGGCCUACCAAGCCGACGAUCGGUAGCUGGUCUGAGAGGAUGAUCAGCCACACUGGGACUGAGACACGGCCCAGACUCCUACGGGAGGCAGCAGCGGGGAAUAUUGGACAAUGGGCGCAAGCCUGAUCCAGCAAUGCCGCGUGAGUGAUGAAGGCCUUAGGGUUGUAAAGCUCUUUCGCACGCGACGAUGAUGACGGUAGCGUGAGAAGAAGCCCCGGCUAACUUCGUGCCAGCAGCCGCGGUAAUACGAAGGGGGCUAGCGUUGAUCGGAAUUACUGGGCGUAAAGGGCGCGU